rnacentral:lncRNA from 1 species
UCUUAGUUUUUUCCCUUCUCUUCCUUUCUUUUUUCCUUGUCUUGCCUAAUUCUCUUCCUAAGCCUUUAUCCUAAAAUUAGACUUGUCCUUAUUAUUUUGGACUUAUCUUAACAAGGGAAGGAAGAGAGUUAUUGGGACAAUAGGGAGAAGGGUGUAAAAAAGAAGAGAUUGAAACUUUUUCCAAUGAUUUAAAACCCCGAGUGCGCC